rnacentral:rRNA from 1 species
GACGAACGCUGGCGGCGUGCUUAACACAUGCAAGUCGAACGGAAAGGCCCUGCUUCUGUGGGGUGCUCGAGUGGCGAACGGGUGAGUAACACGUGAGUAACCUGCCCUUGACUUUGGGAUAACUUCAGGAAACUGGGGCUAAUACCGGAUAGGAGCUCCUGCUGCAUGGUGGGGGUUGGAAAGUUUCGGCGGUUGGGGAUGGACUCGCGGCUUAUCAGCUUGUUGGUGGGGUAGUGGCUUACCAAGGCUUUGACGGGUAGCCGGCCUGAGAGGGUGACCGGCGACAUUGGGACUGAGAUACGGCCCAGACUCCUACGGGAGGCAGCAGUGGGGAAUAUUGCACAAUGGGCCGAAGCCUGAUGCAGCAACGCCGCGUGCGGGAUGACGGCCUUCGGGUUGUAAACCGCUUUCGCCUGUGACGAAGCGUGAGUGACGGUAAUGGGUAAAGAAGCACCGGCUAACUACGUG